rnacentral:lncRNA from 1 species
UUUUUUAUAUUUUUGUUAUUUUCAUAAUUAUUUUAUAAUUAUGUUUGUAUAUAAGUUUUAAAUAUUAAUUUUUAUUGCGACAUAUAAUAAUAUAUGCUGGUAAUUAUAACCUUUAGCAACAUUUAUUAUAUAAUGUUGGUGAAUUUAUAUAUUCAGCAACACUUUCAUUUGUGUGUUACUAAAUAAAAUAAAUAGCAACGUAUAACUAAGUGUUGCUAGAAAAAUGUUGCUAAAUAUCAAUAUUGUUGUAGUGGGAUCAGCUUGUUGUUCCAA